rnacentral:rRNA from 1 species
UGGGGAAUAUUGGACAAUGGGGGCAACCCUGAUCCAGCCAUGCCGCGUGAGUGAUGAAGGCCUUAGGGUUGUAAAACUCUUUCACCGGUGAAGAUAAUGACGGUAACCGGAGAAGAAGCCCCGCCUAAUUUCGUGCCAGCAGCCGCGGUAAUACGAAAGGGGCUAGCGUUGUUCGGAAUUACUGGGCGUAAAGCGCGCGUAGGCGGGCGGCCAAGUUGGGGGUGAAAUCCCGGGGCUCAACCCCGGAACUGCCUCCAAAACUGGUAGCCUCGAGGAUGUGAGAGGAUAGUGGAAUUCCGAGUGUAGAGGUGAAAUUCGUAGAUAUUCGGAAGAACACCAGUGGCGAAGGCGACUGUCUGGCACAUUUCUGACGCUGAGGUGCGAAAGCGUGGGGAGCAAACAGGAUUAGAUACCCCCGUAGUCC